AUUGAACGCUGGCGGCAGGCCUAACACAUGCAAGUCGAACGAGUGGCGGACUGGUGAGUAAUGUCUGGGAAACUGCCUGAUGGAGGGGGAUAACUACUGGAAACGGUAGCUAAUACCGCAUACCAUCGGAUGUGCCCAGAUGGGAUUAGCUAGUAGGUGGGGUAAAGGCUCACCUUGGCGACGAUCCCUUGCUGGUCAGAGAGGAUGACCAGCCACACUGGAACUGAGAGACGGUCCAGACUCCUACGGGAGGCAGCAGUGGGGUAUAUUGCACCAUGGGCGCAAGCCUGAUGCAGCCAUGCCGCGUGUAUGCAGAAGGCCUUCGGGUUGUAAAGUACUUUCAGCGGGGAGGCGUUACCCGCAGAAGAAGCACCGGCUAACGCCGUGCCAGCAGCCGCGGUAAUUC
rnacentral:rRNA from 1 species